rnacentral:rRNA from 1 species
GACGGGGGGGGCAAGUGUUCUUCGGAAUGACUGGGCGUAAAGGGCACGUAGGCGGUGAAUCGGGUUGAACGUGAAAGUCGCCAAAAAGUGGCGGAAUGCUCUCGAAACCAAUUCACUUGAGUGAGACAGAGGAGAGUGGAAUUUCGUGUGUAGGGGUGAAAUGCGCAGAUAUCAGGAAGAACACCCGUGGCUAAGGCGGCUCUCUAGUACGGUACUGACGCUGAGACGCGAAAGCGUGGGGAGCGAACAGG